rnacentral:rRNA from 1 species
UACGGGGGGGGCAAGCGUUGUUCGGAAUUACUGGGCGUAAAGGGCGCGUAGGCGGUUGGAUAAGUCAGCUGUGAAAACCACGGGCUUAACUCGUGGCCUGCAGUUGAGACUGUCUGGCUUGAGUGUGGGAGAGGAGAGUGGAAUUCCUGGUGUAGCGGUGAAAUGCGCAGAUAUCGGGAGGAACACCAGUAGCGAAGGCGGCUCGCUGGGCCAUUCCUGACGCUGAGACGCGAAAGCUAGGGGAGCGAACAGG